AACGAACGCUGGCGGCAUGCCUAACACAUGCAAGUCGAACGAGACCUUCGGGUCUAGUGGCGCACGGGUUCGUAACGCGUGGGAACCUGCCCUUAGGUUCGAAAUAACUCCCCGAAAGGGAUGCUAAUACCGGAUAAUGUCUUCGGACCAAAGAUUUAUCGCCUUUGGUUGGGCCCGCGUUGGAUUAGCUAGUUGGUAGGGUAAAAGCCUACCAAGGCGACGAUCCAUAGCUGGUCUGAGAGGAUGAUCAGCCACACUGGGACUGAGACACGGCCCAGACUCCUACGGGAGGCAGCAGUGGGGAAUAUUGGACAAUGGGCGAAAGCCUGAUCCAGCAAUGCCGCGUGAGUGAUGAAGGCCUUAGGGUUGUAAAGCUCUUUUACCCGGGAUGAUAAUGACAGUACCGGGAGAAUAAGCUCCGGCUAACUCCGUG
rnacentral:rRNA from 1 species